AAACUUGACCUCAAAUCAGGUAGGACUACCCGCUGAACUUAAGCAUAUCAAUAAGCGGAGGAAAAGAAACUAACAAGGAUUCCCCUAGUAACUGCGAGUGAAGCGGGAAGAGCUCAAAUUUUGAAUCUGGCAGUCCUUGGCUGUCCGAGUUGUAAUCUAGAGAAGUGUUUUCCGCGCUGGACCGUGUAUAAGUCUCCUGGAAGGGAGCGUCGUAGAGGGUGAGAAUCCCGUCUUUGACAUGGACCACCAGUGCUAUGUGAUGCGCUCUCGACGAGUCGAGUUGUUUGGGAAUGCAGCUCAAAACGGGUGGUAAACUCCAUCUAAAGCUAAAUACAGGCGAGAGACCGAUAGCGAACAAGUACCGUGAGGGAAAGAUGAAAAGAACUUUGGAAAGAGAGUUAAACAGUACGUGAAAUUGCUGAAAGGGAAACGCUUGAUGUCAGUCACGUUGGCUGGGGAUCAACCUUGCUUCUCGCUGGGUGUACUUCCCGGUCGACGGGUCAGCAUCAGUUUCGAUCGCCGUACAAGGGUGAGGGGAACGUGGCACUCCUCGGAGUGUGUUAUAGCCUUUUGUCAUAUGCGGCGGUUGGGACUGAGGGAGCUCAGCACGGCUUCUUGCUUGUGCUUAGGAUGCUGGCAUAAUGGCCUUAAGCGACCCGUCUUGAAACACGG
rnacentral:rRNA from 1 species